CACCUUCACACCGGGCACGUCUGAGUGGAACACGGGCGCUUGGCUCUUGCCGUCGACGUGAGUCGGAACGGGAAGACCUGUGCAGGACAUGCCAGAGGUGACAAACUGACAAUGAAGACACGGACCGAGAGAGCCUGACCGGAAAUGAUGACAGAAACCCAGGGACCACGUCCGCGGUUCUGCAUACUAGUAAGCAGGUACUGCAUUCGUACCUGAACGCUGGUGCAUCGAGUACAGCUCCUGUCUACUCUUGGUCUUGAUACCUGAUUGAACGGCGCAAGCAAGGAGCAUCUGAAUGGGCCAGUAAUUUGCCAACGCUUUGCCAGCAAACAAGAUGGACUGUUACUUCUGAACAACAUCGUACUUGGGAAAUUGGGAAAAGGACGCGUUCUUCACGCCGGGAGAGUCGGAUUUAAAGACCGGCGCUUGACUGUUACCGUCAACAUUGCUUGGUGCAGGAAGACCUUUGGAAGGAAAACACGAGCAACACAGAAAUAGACAUGCCGAUUGGCUGGGUUGCUCUUUGC